GACGGAGGAUGCAAGCGUUAUCCGGAAUGAUUGGGCGUAAAGCGUCUGCAGGUGGCAGUUCAAGUCUGCUGUCAAAGACCGGGGCUUAACUUCGUAAAGGCAGUGGAAACUGAACAGCUAGAGUAUGGUAGGGGCAGAGGGAAUUCCUGGUGUAGCGGUGAAAUGCGUAGAGAUCAGGAAGAACAUCGGUGGCGAAGGCGCUCUGCUGGACCAUAACUGACACUCAGGGACGAAAGCUAGGGGAGCGAAUGGG
rnacentral:rRNA from 1 species